CAAUAGCGUAUAUCUAAGUUGCUGCAGUUAAAAAGCUCGUAGUUGGAUUUCGGGUGGGAAUGGCCGGUCCGCCGUUUCGGUGUGCACUUGCUACGCCCACCUUGCUGCCGGGGACGUGCUCUUGAGUUCACGCUCGGGACACGGAGUCGGCGAGGUUACUUUGAGUAAAUUAGAGUGUUCAAAGCAGGCCUACGCUCUGAAUACAUUAGCAUGGAAUAACACGAUAGGACUCUGGCCUAUCUUGUUGGUCUGUAGGACCGGAGUAAUGAUUAAGAGGGACAGUCGGGGGCAUUCGUAUUUCAUUGUCAGAGGUGAAAUUCUUGGAUUUAUGAAAGACGAACUACUGCGAAAGCAUUUGCCAAGGAUGUUUUCAUUAA
rnacentral:rRNA from 1 species